rnacentral:rRNA from 1 species
UACGAUCUGUGCGAACGUUAUUCGGAAUCACUGGGCUUACAGGGUGCGUAGGCGGCUUUUCAGGUCAGGUGUGAAAGCCCCCGGCUCAACCGGGGAACUGCGCUUGAAACCGAAAAGCUCGAGUCAGCUAGAGGUGCACGGAACUUCCAGUGGAGCGGUGAAAUGUGUUGAUAUUGGAAGGAACACCGGAGGCGAAAGCGGUGCACUGGGGCUGGUCUGACGCUGAGGCACGAAAGCCAGGGGAGCGAACGGG